rnacentral:rRNA from 1 species
GACAGAGGGUGCAAGCGUUGUUCGGAAUUAUUGGGCGUAAAGCGCGCGUAGGCGGCUUGGUAAGUCGAAUGUGAAAUCCCGUGGCUUAACCAUGGAAGUGCAUUCGAAACUGCCUAGCUCGAGUGUCGGAGAGGGUGGUGGAAUUCCCAGUGUAGAGGUGAAAUUCGUAGAUAUUGGGAGGAACACCAGCGGCGAAGGCGACCACCUGGACGACCACUGACGCUGAGGCGCGAGAGCGUGGGGAGCAAACAGG